UGGAAGUUCCCAGGCAAGGGGUUGAAUCCAAGUGGUAGCUGCUGGCCUACACCACAGCCACAGCCAUGCAGGAUCUGAGUCGCACCUGCUCCCAGCAACACUGGAUCCUUAACCCACUGAGCAGGGCCAGGGAUGGAACCCACAUCCUCAUGGAUUCUAGCUGGGCAGCUGUUACUGUUCUGUUUUUAGCAAGUUGCAUGUAUUCAAUCUGGAAACGAUCUUCUCUGGGGCAUGCAGCCCAUGAUGUCUCUGUUCAGGUUAAUUUAUAUUUUGAUUUUUCGUAAAAUAAAAAUUGCUGAAGAGACUGCCCCUGGGUUUGUAUAGCACAGAAGUCGGACAAUGCCUGGUCAGAUUUCAGCUCGGACACCUCGAGCCAGUAGGUCUGGGGCAGGCGGGGAAGCCUAUUCAAAGUUCAGUUUGUUUGCAAGCCUCUCCUUCCAGCUUUUAAUUUCCACCACGGAGCUGCGCUUUCUUGGGUCUCUCGUGUGGGUACAUUCGAGCCGGGUGUGUGGACCCUGUCUGAUUCUCUCUUUUGCAGGAUUUUCUGGGUAAAUUUCAGUUUCGUCUGCCACCGGCCCCAAGUGGGACUGCAGACUCAGGCCAACAGAGCUGUGGGUUUUCCCCUUUCAUUUCCUACCAAGUUUGCUAUUUUUACUGACAAUGCUGUUCCUCAAUGUGGGGUUUUAACCCUGCCCUCUGGGUCAAGCCCCACAGUGAAGCCACUUGUUUCCAAAGACCCCCCACCCCCACCCCCGCCAGCAGCACUACAUGCUGGGGAUGGGGAAGGGCGGGGAAGCAGCUCCAGGCAAAAUACUCAGUGUUCCUUCUUAAGGUUGAGCAGUUUUUCCACAAAUAGAUGCUGCUCAAUUUUUUUUGUUUACUUGCCUUUGGUCAACCUCCAGAGCCCUGAAACAGUUGGUUUUUGACACCUUUGCCCUGUUUUGUGGUUGUCCAGCCCUUUGCCAGAAACACCCGGACAUGACCGAAGCUUUCAGCCCUGGCCACAGCUUGGCAUCCAGCCUCGACCCUCCCAGCUAGAGCCCCAGUGGGUCAAUCAGCCUUCUUUAUUUUAUUUUUAACUUUUUUAAAAUUAUUCAAAUGAAUUUAUCACAUCUGUAGUUGUAUAAUGAUCAUCACAAUCCAGUUUCACAGGAUUUCCAUCCCACAGCCCAAGGACAUCCCCCCACCCCCCAAACUGUCUCCUCUGGAGACCAUAAGUUUUUCAGUGUCUGUGAGUCAGCAUCUGUUCUGCAAAGUUCAGUCUGUCCUUUUUUCAGAUUCCACAUGUCAGUGUCAGUGAAAGCAUUUGAUGUUGGUGUCUCAUUGUAUGGCUGACUUCACUUAGCAUGAUAAUUUCUAGGUCCACCCAUGUUGCCAGAAGUGCCAGUAUUUCGUUCCUUUUAAUAGCUGAGUCAUAUUCCAUUGUGUAGAUGUACCCCAUCUUCUGGAUCCACUCCUCUGUCGAUGGGCAUUUAGGUUGUUUCCAUGUCUUAGCUGUUGCAAAUAGUGCUGCAAUGAACACUGGGAGUACGUGUCUUUGCGAGUUGUGGUUUUCUCUGGAUAGAUGCCCAGGAGCGGGAUUGCUGGAUCAAAUGGUAGUUCUAUGUUUAGUUUUCUGAGGAAUCUCCAUACUGCUUUCCACCGUGGUUGCACCAGUUUACAAUCCCACCAACAGUGUACCAGGGUUCCUUUUGCUCCACACCCUCUCCAGCACUUCCUGUUUGUGGCCUUCUGGACAAAGGCCAUCAUCAAGAAUCAGCCUUCUUUAAAUGCUCUCCAUUCACACGCAGACUUCCCUCUGCUGCGGAGGGAAGGAAGGCUCAGUGUCCAGCAGCUCUGGGGCUGAACCUGAGGGACCAGAUCUCAACACCUAACCAGCAGACUGAUCCCUGGAGCCUCAGGCAUCCCUCCCCUGCUUCAACCCGCAGCACCCACUUUAUCGAUGGGGGCUCACGACUGCAGGUGGGCUACCGCCUCGCCUCUACAUCUUCCAUCUGAGGGCAGAAGAAAUGUCAUCUUC
ensembl:lncRNA